GUCUAAUUGCCUUUACAACUAACAAAUUGAAUCGAAAUUCGAAUAGACUCUCUUAGGGUAAUAAAAAAGGGAAAAAAUUAGACCCCGCAUAUCAUGUUUACUUGACUUGACUGGCAAGCAAAGUCAGUAGACGGGACUUGCACCGAGUCUGGCAUCCGUGACCAAAGCAAACGAGAGCAAACAAAACGCCUCGGUUACAAAUUUUUUACAAUUUUUCUCCUCUCCAUUUAAAUGGAGAGAAAUGGCUAGCGAACGGAGCAGAGCAAAGCUGAGCUGCUGAUGCUUCCUCCGACUGUGAAUCCUGCCGUUGACGGAGAUGAAUCUGGGCAGCACGUGCUGGAGACGCCGCCAGACAUUGGCUUGAACUUGGCCAAAACAGGGCUGGAGCCAAACACCCUACACACUCACACACACGCACCACUUUGGCGCGUGGCUCGGUCUGCAUUGGGACCGGAAAAUUGCAGUUUUGCGGCUUUAAUCGGUUGCCAGGCGAAUGCGAAUUGUGAAUGUUAAAUGAAGGUCAACGGCAACAGGCAAAAGUGAAAUGAAUAGUCC
rnacentral:lncRNA from 1 species